UACGUAGGGUGCGAGCGUUGUCCGGAUUUACUGGGCGUAAAGAGCGCGCAGGCGGUCGUUCAAGUCGCGUGUGAAAGCCCCCGGCUCAACUGGGGAGGGUCACGCGACACUGAUCGACUCGAAGGCAGGAGAGGGAAGUGGAAUUCCCGGUGUAGUGGUGAAAUGCGUAGAUAUCGGGAGGAACACCAGUGGCGAAGGCGACUUCCUGGCCUGUUCUUGACGCUGAGGCGCGAAAGCUAGGGGAGCAAACGGG
rnacentral:rRNA from 1 species